AAAGGAAUUGACGGGGACCCACACAAGCAGUGGAUCAUGUGGUUUAAUUCGACAGUAAACGGGAAAUCUUACCCAGACUUGACAUCCCAAGAACCUUAUAGAAAUAUGAGGGUGCUCGCAAGAGAACUUGGAGACAGGUGCUGCAUGGUUGUCGUCAGCUCGUGCCUUGAGGUGUUCGGUUAAGUCCGUUAACGAGCGAAACCUAUAUCGUUAGUUACUAUGUCUAACGAGACUGCCCUUGUUAAUUGGGAGGAAGGUAUAGAUGAUGUCAAAUCAGCAUGGCUUUUACGUCUGGGGCCACACACAUGAUACAAUGGUAUGUACAAAAAGAAGCAAUAUGGUAACAUGGAGCAAAUCUUUUAAAGCAUAUCUCAGUCCGGAUUGAGGUCUGAAACUCGACCUCAUGAAGUUGGAAUUGCUAGUAAUCGUGAAUCAGAUAUGUCACGGUGAAUGUGUUCCUGGGUCUUGUACACACCGCCCGU
rnacentral:rRNA from 1 species